rnacentral:rRNA from 1 species
CCUACGGGAGGCAGCAGUGGGGAAUAUUGCACAAUGGGGGAAACCCUUAUGCAGCGACGCCGCGUGAGUGAAGAAGGAUUUCGGUACGUAAAGCUCUAUCAGCAGGGAAGAAAAUGACGGUACCUGACUAAGAAGCCCCGGCUAACUACGUGCCAGCAGCCGCGGUAAUACGUAGGGGGCAAGCGUUAUCCGGAUUUACUGGGUGUAAAGGGAGCGUAGACGGGAGGGCAAGUCUGAAGUGAAAUCGCAGGGCUUAACCAUGGAACUGCUUUGGAAACUGUGGGUCUUGAGUGAUGGAGAGGCAGGCGGAAUUCCCAGUGUAGCGGUGAAAUGCGUAGAUAUUGGGAGGAACACCAGUGGCGAAGGCGGCCUGCUGGACAUUAACUGACGCUGAGGCGCGAAAGCGUGGGGAGCAAACAGGAUUAGAUACCCGGGUAGUC